CUAGCGUCUAAGGGGGAAAGACACGCGUCGGAACAAUCCCAACUGAUGUUUGUUCAUUUUCAGGCAGAUGGCCGCACAUCUUUGAGUCUGGUUCUGUCGGAGAUUUUCUUCCUGUUCAAAGGGAGUUGUUGGUUUUUUCUCUCUCCACUGUUGCCUAUAGUGCUUGCUCAUUGCGUGGCUUGUUAUGAAGGUUUUUUGCUUUACUAUGUAUGUUACUCUUCUACAUUGAGCAAUUUAUCUGUUACUACUGAUGAGAUUUCACAUGUUAUGUUAAAUAUUCUCUUGCAAACCUUUUUACUGAUCCAGGAUCAGCAGUGGAACAUGCUGAGAGGUCGUUUAAAUCAAUAAUAAAAAAAAAAAGCUCCUCUAAUUAAAUCCUCGUAUAUAAUCAGCGGUGACAAGGAGGUCCAUGGGUCGGUGAAGGGGUUAAAUGACGCACGACUCGUCCAUCGCUCACCACUUCAUUCCACUGUCGUUUUUAUGCACACUCACUCAUGACUGAUGGGAGAACAUGAAGAGAGGUUAAAGGGCGGAAGGGGGCAGACUGACCGUUUUGGAAGGGGCUGCCAUGGUCUCCAUCUCCUCAUGGGUCACCCACACGUUGCCUGACGGCUACGAGGGGGCGGAGCCCAAGAGACAGAGCAGCAGCAGCAGCGGGAGGAGCAGCAGUAGCAGUAACAGGGUGGUAGUAGAGGUCCGGCAGGAAGGGCAAGCAGUGUUAAAGAAGAAGAGCAGCACCACUGUAAGCCAAUAGUGUUACAGCAUCACAGUCAGAUGUUGAAGUGGCCCCCGAAACCCGCCCAAAGGGAGGGAGGGGGCGGGGUCAAAGGGCACAGACACACAGUACAGCACCAAAACAUCCCAACUUUGGCGCCAAAACUAAAGACACCAUGGUCACCAUGCAUGAGACAAGGACACAAGUUUGUGUUAUGAACAUGAACAAACACAAACAACACGUUACCUGUGUGUUCUAACAGUGAAACAUACACUUAAGUCUAAUUGUGCCAACUAGGACUGCAUAAUAAUAAUCGAUUAAUCUGUUUAUAACUAUUAUUUAUUAUCUAUUAUAGUUUUGAGAACUUGUUAGGUCUGUGAAAUGUUGGUCUGUGUUUGCCAAAAUCAUUCCGUUUUAUUGAUUUCUUUGUGACAUGGAGCAAAGAAACCAGAAGAUAUUCACAUUUAAGAAAAUAUUUUUUAGAUUUAAUUCAUUUGAAUUAAUCGAAUAGUCUUUGCAGCCCUAGUUCUAAACAUGCUUUCAUUUACAUUAAUGACAGCAAAAUUUAACAUAUACUGUAAAGGCAAAUUUUACUAAAGCUAGCGUACAAAAAGUUAAUAGGGGUGCGAAUUGCCAGAGACGCCACAAUAUUAUACUCACACAACAGCUCUAGUGAGCGUGAGUAUUUGGCGCCACCUAGUGGACUGAAACAUCGGCUGUUUUUUUU